rfam:Tumebacillus sp. AR23208, complete genome.
CAAAGCGGUAGAUCGGCUAAAAACCGCGACGUCCUGUCGCAACGCCGAUCGACUGUACAUCCUGUACG